rnacentral:misc_RNA from 1 species
AAGUCGUAACAAGGUCUCCGUAGGUGAACCUGCGGAGGGAUCAUUAUUGAAUUCUUUUAUACCAGAAGGGAUCUCUCUCUUAUGAGGGGAUCCUUUCUGAACAAACAAACAUACAUGACUAGGAAAAUAGAGACUUGUGAGGGGGGGGCUGCUGCUGCUGCUGCUGUGUUUCUCAAUGAGACACACACUGGGGCUAGCACAGCAAGAAAAGUUCUUGGCUGAUAAGUAGCAUUGAUUUGGUGAUAUAAUCAAUACAACUUUCAACAACGGAUCUCUUGGCUCUCA